rnacentral:SRP_RNA from 1 species
UUUUCAGACCUGUGCAACGGAACUGAAAGACAACGGGUCAGGACGGGAACGUAGCAGCCCACCUUUCUUUACUGUGUGCCGCAGGAACCUGGGGAGAG